CUACGCACUCCUACGGGAGGCAGCAGUGGGGAAUAUUGCACAAUGGGCGCAAGCCUGAUGCAGCCAUGCCGCGUGUAUGAAGAAGGCCUUCGGGUUGUAAAGUACUUUCAGCAGUGAGGAAGGUGGGUAUGUUAAUAGCAUACUCAUUUGACGUUAGCUGCAGAAGAAGCACCGGCUAACUCCGUGCCAGCAGCCGCGGUAAUACGGAGGGUGCGAGCGUUAAUCGGAAUUACUGGGACGUAAAGCGCAUGCAGGUGGUUUGUUAAGUCAGAUGUAGAAAGGCCCGGGGCUCAACCUCGGAAUUGCAUUUAGAAACUGGACAAACUAGAGUACUGUAGAGGGGGUAGAAUUUCAGGUGUAGCGGUGAAAUGCGUAGAGAUCUGAAGGAAUACCGGUGGCGAAGGCGCCCCCCUGGACAGAUACUGACACUCAGAUGCGAAAGCGUGGGGAGCAAACAGGAUUAGAUACCCUGGUAG
rnacentral:rRNA from 1 species